ACUUGUCUAGCUUAGUUGGUAAAAUACUAGGCUCUUAACCUUGUAGCCGUGAGUUCGAGCCCCAUAGUGGGUG
rnacentral:tRNA from 7 species